CCUACGUGAGGCAGCAGUGAGGAAUAUUGGUCAAUGGGCUUACGCCUGAACCAGCCAAGUCGCGUGAUGGAAGACUGCCCUAUGGGUUGUAAACCUCUUUUGUCAGGGAGCAACGCCGGCUACGUUUAGCCGGACUGAGAGUACCUGAAGAAAACGCAUCGUCUAACUCCGUGCCAGCAGCCGCGGUAAUACGGAGGAUGCGAGCGUUAUCCGGAUUUAUUGGGUUUCAGGGGUGCGUAGGCGGAAUGCCUAGUCAGCGGUAAAAUCGCGGGGCUCAACCUCGCUCCGCCGUUGCAACUUGCGUUAUUGAGUGGGAGAGAAGUAUGCGGAAUGCGUGGGGUAGCGGUGAAAUGCAUAGAUAUCACGCAGAACUCCGAUUGCGAAGGCAGCAUACCGGCGCCCAACUGACGCUGAAGCACGAAAGCGUGGGUAUCGAACAGGAUUAGAUACCCGGGUAGUC
rnacentral:rRNA from 1 species